rnacentral:rRNA from 1 species
CUUGAAAAAAAAUAUAAGAGGUCCAGCCUGCCCAGUGACCUAUGUUCAACGGCCGCGGUAUCCUAACCGUGCGAAGGUAGCGUAAUCACUUGUUCUUUAAAUGGGGACUAGUAUGAAUGGCAUCACGAGGGUUAAGCUGUCUCCUUUUUCUAAUCAGUGAAACUAAUCUCCCCGUGAAGAAGCGAGGAUAAUACUAUAAGACGAGAAGACCCUAUGGAGCUUUAAACAAAUUUACACCUGCUUUAAUACAUACUACCUCCUGAAUACUCACACAAAUUAUAGCAUGACUGAUAAAUAGUUUUCGAUUGGGGUGAUCAUGGAGAAAAAACCAACCUCCACGACGACAAGGGAAUAUUCCUGAGCCAAAAGCCACAACUUUAAGCACUAAAAAAUUAACGCACUUUGACCCAAUUACUUGAGCAACGAAC